UACGUAGGGUGCAAGCGUUAAUCGGAAUUACUGGGCGUAAAGCGUGCGCAGGCGGUUUUGUAAGUCUGUCGUGAAAGCCCCGGGCUCAACCUGGGAAUUGCGAUGGAGACUGCAAGGCUUGAAUCUGGCAGAGGGGGGUAGAAUUCCACGUGUAGCAGUGAAAUGCGUAGAGAUGUGGAGGAACACCGAUGGCGAAGGCAGCCCCCUGGGUCAAGAUUGACGCUCAUGCACGAAAGCGUGGGGAGCAAACAGGG
rnacentral:rRNA from 1 species